rnacentral:rRNA from 1 species
CCUACGGGUGGCAGCAGUCGAGAAUCAUUCACAAUGGGGGAAACCCUGAUGGUGCGACGCCGCGUGGGGGAAUGAAGGUCUUCGGAUUGUAAACCCCUGUCAUGUGGGAGCAAAUUAAAAAGAUAGUACCACAAGAGGAAGAGACGGCUAACUCUGUGCCAGCAGCCGCGGUAAUACAGAGGUCUCAAGCGUUGUUCGGAAUCACUGGGCGUAAAGCGUGUGUAGGCUGUUUCGUAAGUCGUGUGUGAAAGGCGCGGGCUCAACCCGCGGACGGCACAUGAUACUGCGAGACUAGAGUAAGGGAGGGGGAACCGGAAUUCUCGGUGUAGCAGUGAAAUGCGUAGAUAUCGAGAGGAACACUCGUGGCGAAGGCGGGUUCCUGGACAUUAACUGACGCUGAGGCACGAAGGCCAGGGGAGCGAAAGGGAUUAGAUACCCCUGUAGUC